rnacentral:lncRNA from 10 species
ACUCCUGACCUCGUGAUCCGCCUGCCUCAGCCUCCCAAAGUGCUGAGCUUACAGGCGUGAGCCACCGCACCCAGCUUACCCUUUAAAUUUGUAUCACACUUUCCUUUAAUAUAAAACAAACCUGUGGGACAGGAUUGGUUAAGCUGAAUAAACCAUUCUUAUAAAUAAAAUGCUAUCUGAUACAAUCUGUUAGUGGUAGUUGUUACCGUUAAUUCUUGCCUGAAACUUUUCUCUAGGUUUGUCGUCUCCCUUGAGCUUUAAGGCUUUUCUUAGGUGGAGUCGGGGAGGACUGGGUGGGCAGUAUAUUCAGAUAUUGGAUCUGAGCCCUGUUCUCCCUAGGUCCUGACUUCCAGUCCUUGUUCUCACCACAGACUUAUCUCAGACAGAGGAGAAACUUCGUGGAGCAGUGCUACACGCACUACGUAAAACUACCUACCAUUGGCAAGAACUGAGCUACACUGAGGGACUGAGCCUGGUGUAUAUGGCAGCAAGACUGGAUGGUGGCUUUGCAGCAGUCUCCAGAGCAUUCCAUGAGAUCCGGGCUCGAAAUCCAGCAUUUCAGCCACAAACUUUGAUGGACUUUGGCUCAGGUACUGGUUCUGUCACCUGGUGAGUAACUUUCUUCAGCCCUAUCUUGGUCAAUUUUAGCUCUAGAAAGCCAUACUUACACCACUCCAAAAUUAACAGACUGGAAAACCAGAGGGAGAAUAGGCAAGUUGGGAAUCUAUAA